GCCUAAAGCGUCCGUAGCCGGCUUUGUAAGUUUUCGGUUAAAUCUAUAUGCUCAACAUAUAGGCUGCCGGGAAUACUGCAAAGCUAGGGAGUGGGAGAGGUAGACGGUACUCCGUAGGAAGGGGUAAAAUCCUUUGAUCUAUGGAUGACCACCUGUGGCGAAGGCGGUCUACCAGAACACGUCUGACGGUGAGGGAUGAAAGCUGGGGGAGCAAACCGGAUUAGAUACCCGGGUAGUCCCAGCUGUAAACUAUGCAAACUCAGUGAUGCAUUGGCUUGUGGCCAGUGCAGUGCCGCAGGGAAGCCGUUAAGUUUGCCGCCUGGGAAGUACGUACGCAAGUAUGAAACUUAAAGGAAUUGGCGGGGGAGCACCACAAGGGGUGAAGCCUGCGGUUCAAUUGGAGUCAACGCCAGAAAUCUUACCCGGAGAGACAGCAGGAUGAAGGUCAAGCUGAAGACUUUACCAGACAAGCUGAGAAGUGGUGCAUGGCCGUCGCCAGCUCGUGCCGUGAGGUGUCCUGUUAAGUCAGGUAACGAGCGAGAUCCUUGCCUCUAGUUGCUACCAUUACUCUCAGGAGUAGUGGGGCGAAUUAGCGGGACUGCCGUAGUUAAUACGGAGGAAGGAGAGGGCCACGGCAGGUCAGUAUGCCCCGAA
rnacentral:rRNA from 1 species